UGGGGAAUUUUCCGCAAUGGGCGAAAGCCUGACGGAGCAAUACCGCGUGAGGGAGGAAGGCUCUUGGGUUGUAAACCUCUUUUCUCAAGGAAGAAGAAAUGACGGUACUUGAGGAAAAAGCAUCGGCUAACUCCGUGCCAGCAGCCGCGGUAAGACGGAGGAUGCAAGCGUUAUCCGGAAUUAUUGGGCGUAAAGCGUCCGCAGGUGGCAUUUCAAGUCCAAUGUCAAAGACUGGAGCUUAACUCCGGGAAGGCAAGGGAAACUGAAAAGCUAGAGAGUGGUAGGGGUAGAGGGAAUUCCCAGUGUAGCGGUGAAAUGCGUAGAGAUUGGGAAGAACACCAGUGGCGAAGGCGCUCUACUGGACCAGAACUGACACUGAGGGACGAAAGCUAGGGGAGCA
rnacentral:rRNA from 1 species